UACUAAGUGUCUUAAUUCCUGAAGUGAA
rnacentral:piRNA from 1 species